ACGGAUGGCUGGAGGAAAAUAAGAGUUUUUAUUAUGAGCAAAAAAGCAGGAUGGAAAUGAUUGGCUGGUUCUGUGUACUUGUUUCCCUGUGCAACCAACGAACAAGUAAACAGAAUGACUGAAAUGAGUUUGUGCUUCACUCCAUUCGAGAACCAUUGGAGUGGGAGGCGAGACUCGACACACGCGCGCACACACACACACAGUUGCCCAGGCGUCGUCACACACACAGGUUGCAGACUCAAUCUCGCUGCUUUACAAGGCUGUAUUUGAGUGACACGUGUCUUUAAGGGUGUCUGCUCGGUACAAGUGACAGAUUAACAUGAAUUUUGUAUUGUCAACAUGAGAAACACUCUUGAGAGCCGUGGUAGUCGCCUCUGUGGCCUUGAAAAACACUGGUGAUGGCAGCGCGAAGUGUUUCUGCACACGGGACAGUCACUCAGUCACACACUCAGUCAUUGUACUUGUAAGAACACACGCACAGAGAACUACGCGAGGCUGCCACCCACAAAAAAGCUUACGGAUUCACGCCCUCUCAUUCUGGCGAGCUAGGGAAGGAGCAGCGAGGUGUGGGUGGGGCUGUAACUCACACGGGGAUAUCUACGAGAGAUGGGAGAAAUAGAAACUGUGUAGAGGAAUGAGGGACAGGCGGCUCCCUUGACUCCCCCCCGUGCUGUGGUGGUGACCGUCGCACCAAGCACGCCUUGAGCACCGCCAGGAUCUCGGCAGGGUUCGGUGACCUCCGCUUCGAGAUACCCGUCCAAUUUGUGCGGCGCUAGAGAGGAGCGUGGGGCUGCAGCAUUGAAGCCAGUGGUGGGGCCCGUGUCCCUCCACUCAUGGCGGUGCUUGGCUCGACGCGGCGGACACUGGUGGAUGAGAGCACGCCCUUGACUGCUGGCUCCUGGAUGCUGAGCACUCAUGAACACAAGCCAUCACAUUGCAUUUCUCUCUCAUUUGGUGCCGUGGCUGGAACUGAGAUCGUAUUUCAUUACAAUGUCUUAUUUAUUUAUUUAUUUUUGUAUUUAAGAUCGGUAAUGACAAGGGCAACAAAAAAAAUAUAUAUAAGAAAAUAUACACCGAGGCGCCAGUCCCUGAAAAAAGAAAAACAUAUCUUGAAUUGGAGAAUACUUACUUGUCUCGAAACUUCGCUCUUGAAAGAAUUCGCCAUAUCAAAUCUGCAAUAUCUGGCUGAUGCUGCUGCAAAUUGUACUGUUAUUAUCCCCAUCAGUUAUUAAAGCAGGAUAUAUGUAUUGCUUCCUGACCCCAGACGUGUGUGUGUGUGUGUGUGUGUGUGUGUGUGUUACAAGCGCCGUGGUGUGAAGGGAAUAAAGGCUGGAGGAGUGUCUGAGAAUGUUUAACCCAAGUGAGGUGGUAAGGCAGAGAACGGGACACGUGGUAUCUUCAGUUGCUUUUUGUUUUUUUCGCUGUCUUUUGGUCCCCUUGUCUAGAAUGACUCUUAAAUAUAUUAUAAAAAGUACGCUGAAGUUACCGCGAGGUGCAGCGAAGUUUGGGCACCUAAUAAAGAGUAUGAUCUGUACUACCGGUGCUGAAACUUGAGUGAGCUUUUUGAUGUUUUGGAUGCUGUGAAGAGUCUGAGCCAUUUAAGAGAAUAUAUUUCGUAUCGACACGAGUAAAGGUUUCGUCUCUUUCCUAGGCGCACUGAAUGAACAUGGGGCGCCUACGAUAGCAUUGUAUUACUGACGGUGUUCGGACUAGAGGGAAAAUUUUCGAAGGCCACUCUGUUGAAAAGAUGCUGUGGUGUUGGUGGUCUUGUGCAGUGGAGUUUGCGUGUUGUUUGGUCAAAUAAAAGACGUCAAUUUGUUUGUGCAGUGGAGUUUACGUGUUGUUUGGUCAAAUAAAAGACUUCAAUUCGUUUUCUUUGUUUACUUGGUUAUUUUCUUCUUAAUCUUCUCUGGUGUGAAAAAAAAAAAAAUGCUGUGGUUCACGACGAGACUGGCAACUAGCUCAUGAUUAAAAAUAAAAGUAAAAAAAAAAAAAAUAUUCGAACUCAGUGCCGGAAAAAAAACUUGCCACAGAUUCGGAUAACUGAGUAAACGAGUCGUGAGUAGGUAGAGAGUCGCGAAGGGCGUGUUGGGGCAGGUCAGUCAGUAUCUAGGUCAAGGUCAAAUGAAAGUGAAGGUCUAACAGACUCAAAUGUAGUCAAGGUCACACAAUGGACUCGCCCUGUGUCCUCCCCUACUGUGAAAUGGACUCGCCCACCCUAACAAGCUAUUCCCUCUCCCCCUUCUGUCUCUACCUUACCAAACCUUACCGUCCCUUCAACCCAAGCGUAUAAUGGACUCGCCCUGUGUCUUCCCCCUACUAUGAGAAUGGACUCGCCCUCAUUUUCUUCGUCCUCUUUACCAAACCCUGCCCAAUCUAUUAAUGGACUCGACCAGUACCACCUCCAGCAUCUUUCCUCCCCCACUCUGUCAAUGGCCUCGUCUUGUAUCUUGAAACACGCUUUUAAUGAUCAAACUGCUGUAGGAGAGGCAGUACUCCUUGGGUGCUGGAAGCGUUCAUUGCCGGGGUGCUGGCGGGGAGCAGGUAACGAUGCUUUGUGUGGUAGUAACUGUUGUGUUGGAUGCCAAGACGCUUUGCAGGACUGAAUUCAUCCUCUAUUUUUACCUACUGUAGUGUGAACCUGCUUCAUAAAGAUACCUAAUUUCUUGUGUCUUAUUCAUUAAGGCAUUAGCGCGACAUGCAAUACGAAAUUCAGAUGGUGUCACAAGGCGGCUCCUCCAGCUGAGAUUAUUCUACAAUGCAUGGACUUCGGCAGCACGACAACCUUAUUCUUCCUGCUCUCUUGUGCGAGGUCACUGCCAAGGUCCGUGUUCUACAGUAUAAUGAAGAGGUCAGAUGGUGUCACUGUAUGAAAUGUGUUCUGCCGACAUGUUCAGUGCCUCGAGAUUUCGGUGUCAUUGCAGCCUCGUUGUAUCUUCUCGUACGGCGCUUCAUCCUUACUUCAUACCCGGUACAGUCUGUGGUUGCCUGCUGCUCUUCCUUCCUCGCACAGCUGUCGACAUUGACCUCAUGACCGGUACAGUCUGUGGUUGCCUGCUGUUCUCACUUCCUCGCACAGCUGUCGACAUUGACCUCAUGACCGGUACAGUCUGUGGUUGCCUGCUGUUCUCACUUCCUCGCACAGCUGUCGACAUUGACCUCAUGACCGGUACAGU